rnacentral:rRNA from 1 species
UACGUAGGGUGCAAGCGUUGUCCGGAAUUAUUGGGCGUAAAGAGCUCGUAGGCGGUUUGUCGCGUCUUCUGUGAAAACCCGAGGCUCAACCUCGGGCCUGCAGUGGGUACGGGCAGACUAGAGUGCGGUAGGGGAGAUUGGAAUUCCUGGUGUAGCGGUGGAAUGCGCAGAUAUCAGGAGGAACACCGAUGGCGAAGGCAGAUCUCUGGGCCGUAACUGACGCUGAGGAGCGAAAGCAUGGGGAGCGAACAGG